rnacentral:rRNA from 1 species
GAUGAACGCUGGCGACAGGCUUAACACAUGCAAGUCGAGGGGCAGCACGGGAGUAGCAAUACAACUGGUGGCGACCGGCGCACGGGUGAGUAACGCGUAUGCAACCUACCUAUCAGAGGGGAAUAACCCGGCGAAAGUCGGACUAAUACCGCAUAAAACAGGGGCACCGCAUGGUGAUAUUUGUUAAAGAAAUUCGCUGAUAGAUGGGCAUGCGUUCCAUUAGGUAGUUGGUGAGGUAACGGCUCACCAAGCCGACGAUGGAUAGGGGAACUGAGAGGUUGGUCCCCCACACUGGUACUGAGACACGGACCAGACUCCUACGGGAGGCAGCAGUGAGGAAUAUUGGUCAAUGGGCGGGAGCCUGAACCAGCCAAGUCGCGUGAAGGAAGAAGGAUCUAUGGUUCGUAAACUUCUUUUGCAGGGGAGUAAAGUGCAGGACGUGUCCUGUUUUGUAUGUACCCUGAGAAUAAGGAUCGGCUAACUCCGUGCCAGCAGCCGCCGUAA